rnacentral:rRNA from 1 species
AAGAGUCGGGAGUUGUGGCUCGGGUUCCAGGGRACSCCGCCCAACGGGCGGGGUCCCUCCGGUCGCAUCGAACUAUCCCGCCGGCCAGACGCAUUUGUCUCUCGCCCGAAGGACGCCGCAGCCGGUCGGGUACCGCAAGCGCGGCGGUCAGAAGGUCGGACGACGGCAGGUGGCCGGUGGCGGCCGCGCACCCGAGAGGGGGCGCGGAGGUCCGCCGGUCGUUAGCCGGUCCGUCAGUGACCGCCACCCGACCGUGGUCGAGGCCAGGCCCCUAGCGGGCCAAAGUCCGUCUCCUCCCCCCGAGAGGGGGGAAGCCGGGACCGGGCGGCGCGGGCGGAGGCCGCGGGACGUCGCACCCCCCCAGGGGUGGACGGGCCCGCGCAACUCUCCGCCGUCGGCGUCGCCGGACCCGCGGGAGGCCGGAGGCUCGCGGCGAGUAGGUCGGUCACCCACCCGACCCGUCUUGAAACACGGACCAAGGAGUCUAACAUGUGCGCGAGUCAGUGGGUCUUGCUCAGGCCCACGGGCGCAUGAAAGCAAAGGCGGAGUCGGACACGGCCCGCCGGGUUGGGAUCCCCGUCGAUUCCAAAGGCGGGGCGCACCAACGACCCGUCCCAUCCGGCCCGCCGGAGGGGCGGAUCCGAGCGCACACGUUGGGACCCGAAAGAUGGUGAACUAUGCCCGAACAGGACGAGGCCAGAGGAAACUCUGGUGGAGGUCCGCAGAGAUCUGCUGCAAA